rnacentral:rRNA from 1 species
CGUGUAGGCGGUUUGUACAGUCAGAUGUGAAAUCCCCGGGCUUAACCUGGGAGCUGCAUUUGAGACGUGCAGACUAGAGUGUGAGAGAGGGUUGUGGGAUUCCCAGUGUAGAGGUGAAAUUCGUAGAUAUUGGGAAGAACACCGGUGGCGAAGGCGGCAACCUGGCUCAUUACUGACGCUGAGGCGCGAAAGCGUGGGAGCAAACA